rnacentral:rRNA from 1 species
GAUGAACGCUGGCGGCGUGCUUAACACAUGCAAGUCGAACGGAAAGGCUCCUGCUUGCCGGGGUACUCGAGUGGCGAACGGGUGAGUAACACGUGGGUGAUCUGCCCUGUACUUCGGGAUAAGCUUGGGAAACUGGGUCUAAUACCGGAUAGGACAACUUUUUGGAUAUUGUUGUGGAAAGCUUUUGCGGUAUGGGAUGAGCUCGCGGCCUAUCAGCUUGUUGGUGGGGUAAUGGCCUACCAAGGCGUCGACGGGUAGCCGGCCUGAGAGGGUGUACGGCCACAUUGGGACUGAGAGACGGCCCAGACUCCUACGGGAGGCAGCAGUGGGGAAUAUUGCACAAUGGGCGCAAGCCUGAUGCAGCGACGCCGCGUGGGGGAUGAAGGCCUUCGGGUUGUAAACUCCUUUCGCUAGGGACGAAGCGUUUUUGUGACGGUACCUGGAGAAGAAGCACCGGCUAACUACGUG